rnacentral:lncRNA from 13 species
AUGACUUCCAUCUACGAAGAGAAUGAUCCAAAUUCUUUGGAGCUUGUGGAAGGUCUUGGUCAAGAUAACAGUGAAGAGGAGUUGGACUUUUCCUACCUGUUUUUGUACAACCCAUCUGAGGAUGACUUUCGCGGGAAUGAAGACAACUCAGGGGUUCCCCCUCACGAUGAUCACAACCCUCCAUCUAUGGUGCCCUACUCUUGUGAGGACAGUUCCAGUUGUGCCCAUACAACCUCCAGUCAGUCCUACUACCAUGGGCUUGUCACUGACUGCCUGUCUGGGCCUGGGUUUAACUCGCUGGAUCUCCCCUCCAGGCCAGAGGGUGCUCCCUCCCCCAGCCCCAGGAUUGAGAUCACCCCAUCUGGGGACCCUCACCAGACUCAGCGCCUGGAUGCCAGCCCCAGAUCGACGGCCCUGUCUGUGUCUGGCUAUGAGAAUACAGCCUAUCGAGAGCCUCAGUGCCCAAGCCCUGCCAGAAGCAACUCCUCCACGGGCUGGCUGUCCGAGUCUUGUUCUCCCUGGGUCUCUCCUUGUGUAUCUCCCAGUGGUGAUGGGGGGGGGGCGGUAGGCUUGACCACCUUGGACCACUUCCAAGGCAUCCACAUGUCCAUGGCUCACUCCUCCCCAGGGACCUCCCCGUGCACCAGCAUCACAGAGGAGACAUUCCUGGUACUGCAGAGUCAGCGGUCAUCCUCCCCCCACUCCCAUACCCACCCGCGCUCUCACUCCGCCUCUCCUCAGGGCAAACGCACCUAUGACCAGUACAGCGGCCCCAGCCUGGGGACCACCAGCCAGCAGCAGAGCUCCCGGAGCCUCAGCCCCUCGCCCCACCACCCCCAAGGACCCCAGGCUCAGGCUGACCCACAGGCCAAUGCCCCUGAGCAGACUCCCAGCUUUGAAGAGGUGUUGAGCAGCCCCAGUUCCAGCCUGCCCAGGGCGGUGCCCUCCACGAUGGUGCAGCCCAAGGAGGAGUGCUACACGUACAGAGAGAGCCAGGGGGAUGGCUAUGUGCACCUCAUGGAGCAGGGGAGGAGAGGCAAAGCUGGGGCUGAGACCUACAUCCUCCCUACAUCUGUCUGGCCAGUUCCACUAGCCCACGGAGCAAUCAGAUUUGCAAUUGCCCAGUCACUCAGACCAAUAUGAGCUGUGUCUGGAGCACCGUGCCCACUAUGAGACAUAGGGCAGCAGGGGAGCAGUCAAAGCACCUGGUGGAGGACACACUGUGGUUCAG